CCCCUCGAGAGUGGCGAACGGGUGAGUAAUAUAUCGGAACGUGCCCAGUCGUGGGGGAUAACGUAGCGAAAGUUACGCUAAUACCGCAUACGAUCUACGGAUGAAAGCGGGGGACUCGCAAGAGCCUCGCGCGAUUGGAGCGGCCGAUAUCAGAUUAGGUAGUUGGUGGGGUAAAGGCUCACCAAGCCAACGAUCUGUAGCUGGUCUGAGAGGACGACCAGCCACACUGGAACUGAGACACGGUCCAGACUCCUACGGGAGGCAGCAGUGGGGAAUUUUGGACAAUGGACGCAAGUCUGAUCCAGCCAUUCCGCGUGCAGGAUGAAGGCCCUCGGGUUGUAAACUGCUUUUGUACGGAACGAAAAGGUCUCUAUUAAUACUAGGGGCUCAUGACGGUACCGUAAGAAUAAGCACCGGCUAACUACGUGCCAGCAGCCGCGGUAAUACGUAGGGUGCAAGCGUUAAUCGGAAUUACUGGGCGUAAAGCGUGCGCAGGCGGUUAUGUAAGACAGAGGUGAAAUCCCCGGGCUCAACCUGGGAACUGCCUUUGUGACUGCUUAGCUAGAGUACGGUAGAGGGGGAUGGAAUUCCGCGUGUAGCAGUGAAAUGCGUAGAUAUGCGGAGGAACACCGAUGGCGAAGGCAAUCCCCUGGACCUGUACUGACGCUCAUGCACGAAAGCGUGGGGAGCAAACAGGAUU
rnacentral:rRNA from 1 species